rnacentral:rRNA from 1 species
CCUACGGGAGGCAGCAGUGAGGAAUAUUGGUCAAUGGUCGAGAGACUGAACCAGCCAAGCCGCGUGAGGGAUGAAGGUCCAGAGUAUCGUAAACCUCUUUUGUCAGGGAAUAAAGGCAGGGACGUGUCCCCGUAUGAGUGUACCUUAUGAAAAAUCAUCGGCUAACUCCGUGCCAGCAGCCGCGGUAAUACGGAGGAUCCGAGCGUUAUCCGGAUUUAUUGGGUUUAAAGGGUGCGCAGGCGGUCUGUUAAGUCAGGUGUGAAAGCCGGGGGCUCAACCCUACGACCGCGUUUGAAACUGGCAGUCUCGAGUUGGAGAGAGGUAUGCGGAAUGCGCGGUGUAGCGGUGAAAUGCAUAGAUAUCGCGCAGAACCCCGAUUGCGAAGGCAGCAUGCCGGCUCCAGACUGACGCUGAGGCACGAAAGCGUGGGUAUCGAACAGGAUUAGAUACCCUGGUAGUC